GACGGAGGGGGCUAGCGUUUUUCGGAAUCAUUGGGCGUAAAGCGCGUGUAGGCGGCUUGGCAAGUCGGGUGUGAAAUCCCGGGGCCCAACCCCGGAACUGCAUUCGAAACUGCCUCGCUAGAGUCCCGGAGAGGAAGGCGGAAUUCCCGGUGUAGAGGUGAAAUUCGUAGAUAUCGGGAGGAACACCAGCGGCGAAGGCGGCCUUCUGGACGGUGACUGACGCUGAGACGCGAAAGCGUGGGGAGCAAACAGG
rnacentral:rRNA from 1 species